UACGUAGGGGGCAAGCGUUGUCCGGAAUCAUUGGGCGUAAAGAGCGUGUAGGCGGCCCGGUAAGUCCGCUGUGAAAGUCCAGGCUCAACCCUGGGAUGCCGGUGGAUACUGUCGGGCUCGAGUCCGGAAGAGGAGUGUGGAAUUCCUGGUGUGAGCGGUGAAAUGCGGCAGAUAUCGGGAAGAACACCCGUGGCGAAGGCGGCUCUCUGGGACGGUACUGACGCUGAGACGCGAAAGCGUGGGGAGCGAACAGGAUU
rnacentral:rRNA from 1 species